rnacentral:tRNA from 1 species
GCGCGCAUAGCUCAGUGGUAGAGCGCUUCGUUCACAUCGAAGAGGUCCCUGGUUCGAUCCCAGGUGCGCGCA